rnacentral:lncRNA from 1 species
ACUUAAGUUUGAUAUUAAAUACACACUGACGCGUACAUCGUACAAUAUGUUGAUAAUUUCCGACUGUUGCGCCGACUUUAACCACGUUGACGGGACUCUCGCUGCGUUCAAAACAGCGUUCUACUUGCGGGCCCAUUUCUGAUCAUCAGUGAAGGCGGAAGAUCAUUUCAAGGUGGAUGACAAUUUGGCAUUUCUUCGACGGAACCCUGCAUAUGGCUGAGUAUAUUUGAUUUAAUAUUGAUACUGCUUAGUGUUCUUUGUUACUUCAGCUUUCAUACGUUCUAAAUAUCUGGUGUCAAUAAUUGCCACAGAAGUAAAACCCUACCCAAUGGAAUGACGUCAAACAACAACUUUGUUGCUUAGUUACCAACUGGAUAAUAACAAAGCUAAAAUAAUGGCCGUCUUUCCCACAUGUUACAGUAGAAGAAACUCUAGAACUGUACAAGGUUAAAAAGGUAACAUUUAGUUUGUCCCAAGGUGUCUGCCUCCUCACCCAGAGCCAGACCUCCACCUCCUCACCCAGAGCCAGACCUCCACCUCCUCACCCAGAGCCAGACCUCCACCUCCUCACCCAGAGCCAGACCUCCACCUCCUCACCCAGAGCCAGACCUCCACCUCCUCACCCAGAGCCAGACCUCCACCUCCUCACCCAGAGCCAGACCUCCACCUCCUGUCAGAAGUCCUCCAGAACAGCUGAAAGGCGAGGCUGAGAGGCUGGGGACCGUCUUGUGGUGCCAGGAUUGACCGAAGACUGAGGCUGGAGACCAGGGGCCUGCAGCACCGGACCAGAGGGAAACCAUCACCAAGCUCAUCUGAAAAACUAAAAUCCUCUGUAGUUUAGGUCUGGUUUUGAUCAUCUUAAAGGGACACUGUGUAAAAAUGACUCCCAUCUAGUGUUACAAUUGUAUAUUGCAUUCAAACUAAUAGUGCUCGCUUGUUCAAAAACUACGGUAGGCAGUAUGUGCCAAGAAGCUGUAGCAUGACAUCCAAUACUACCUCAUCGAGUCAUUCGAGUGAUGAUGAGGUUUGUUAUUUCAAACAAAUUUCAAACU